rnacentral:rRNA from 1 species
AGCGGUGGAGCAUGUGGUUUAAUUCGAUGCAACGCGAAGAACCUUACCUGGCCUUGACAUCCAGAAUUGCAGAGAUGCUUGUGCCUUCGGGAACUGAGACAGGUGCUGCAUGGCUGUCGUCAGCUCGUGUUGUGAAAUGUUGGGUUAAGUCCCGCAACGAGCGCAACCCUUAUCCUUUGUUGCCAGCGAUUCGGUCGGGAACUCAAAGGAGACUGCCGGUGAUAAACCGGAGGAAGGUGGGGAUGACGUCAAGUCAUCAUGGCCCUUACGGCCAGGGCUACACACGUGCUACAAUGGCGCAUACAAAGAGAAGCGACCUCGCGAGAGCAAGCGGACCUCAUAAAGUGCGUCGUAGUCCGGAUUGGAGUCUGCAACUCGACUCCAUGAAGUCGGAAUCGCUAGUAAUCGUAGAUCAGAAUGCUACGGUGAAUACGUUCCCGGUCCUUGUACACACCGCCCGUCACACCAUGGGAGUGGGUUGCAAAAGAAGUAGGUAGCUUAACCUUCGGGAGGGCGCUUACCACUUUGUGAUUCAUGACU